ensembl:lncRNA
UGCAUUUGUUAAUUACCUUUACAGAGCCAGCAGAUGGUGCAGGAAGAACUGUAUUGUCUGUGGACCCAAGCCAAAACCGGGAGAGAGAGGCAUCUGUUUAUUUGUUUAAUUUCUUUGCAAGGAAAUGCCUUUGCAAUUCAAAGAAGUCAAGGAACCAGGAACUGGCUGUGCUGGACUCAGAGAGGAUCCAUUAUGUAGACUUCCCCUUCUCUCUCUGUUGGCCUUCCUAUGGAUGUGGACAGAUGACCCAGGCUGGCCAGCAAGCAUUCUCUGUCUCCUGAGCAAGAAAGAAAGCCGCAGUGCAAUGAACAGAAGACAAUGGACCCAAUGACCCGGGCUACCAGACGCCAGCCUAUGACUGUGUUCAAAACAAUGCAAGAAGGAGAAGAAUACACGAUGCUUACGACUUCGUCCCUUAUCACCCGCCUCUGAUUGUGCGCCCUCCUCUGUAAGAUCCUCCAGAUUCCUCAUGGGAGGCGGGGCACAGACCUAGAGGCAUGAACCUACUACGUCUUUCCUCCACUGGCUGAAAGAUUAAAGCCACCUUUCUAUUUCCUCCC